AUUGAACGCUGGCGGCAGGCUUAACACAUGCAAGUCGAGCGAGCGGCGGACGGGUGAGUAAUGUCUGGGAAACUGCCUGAUGGAGGGGGAUAACUACUGGAAACGGUAGCUAAUACCGCAUACUAUCAGAUGAACCCAGAUGGGAUUAGCUAGUAGGUGGGGUAAAGGCUCACCUAGGCGACGAUCCCUAGCUGGUCUGAGAGGAUGACCAGCCACACGGGAACUGAGACACGGUCCAGACUCCUACGGGAGGCAGCAGUGGGGAAUAUUGCACAAUGGGCGCAAGCCUGAUGCAGCCAUGCCGCGUGUGUGAAGAAGGCCUUAGGGUUGUAAAGUACUUUCAGCGAGGAGGCGUUACUCGCAGAAGAAGCACCGGCUAACUCCGUGCCAGCAGCCGCGGUAAUUC
rnacentral:rRNA from 1 species